CCUACGGGGGGCUGCAGUGGGGAAUUUUGCGCAAUGGGCGAAAGCCUGACGCAGCAACGCCGCGUGGAGGAUGAAGGUGCUCUGCAUUGUAAACUCCUGUCGGCCGGGAAGAAUCGGCGGGGUGCUAAUCAGCCCCGUCUUGACUGUACCGGCAAAGGAAGCCCCGGCUAACUCCGUGCCAGCAGCCGCGGUAAUACGGAGGGGGCAAGCGUUACUCGGAAUUAUUGGGCGUAAAGGGCGCGUAGGCGGUCUCGUGCGUCAGGGGUGAAAUCCCCGGGCUUAACCCGGGACGUGCCUCUGAUACGGCGAGACUUGAGUCCGGGAGAGGGGAGCAGAAUUCCCAGUGUAGCGGUGAAAUGCGUAGAUAUUGGGAGGAAUACCAGUGGCGAAGGCGGCUCCCUGGACCGGUACUGACGCUGAGGCGCGAAAGCGUGGGUAGCAAACAGGCUUAGAUACCCGGGUAGUC
rnacentral:rRNA from 1 species